rnacentral:tRNA from 1 species
GCGGGGAUCGUAUAAUGGCUCAUUACCCCGGCCUUCCAAGCCGGUGAUAGGGGUUCGAAUCCCCUUACCCGCUCCC